rnacentral:miRNA from 1 species
UGUGGCUGUGGUGUAGGCCAGC